GACGAACGCUAGCGGGAGGCUUAACACAUGCAAGUCGAGGGGCAGCACGAGGUAGCAAUACUUUGGUGGCGACCGGCGCACGGGUGAGUAACGCGUAUGCAACCUACCCUGUACAGGGGGAUAACCCGGAGAAAUUCGGACUAAUACCCCAUAAAGCACUUUAGAGGCAUCUUGGAAUAUUUAAAGUUCCGGCGGUACGGGAUGGGCAUGCGUAACAUUAGCUAGUUGGUAAGGUAACGGCUUACCAAGGCAACGAUGUUUAGGGGUCCUGAGAAGGUGAUCCCCCACACUGGUACUGAGACACGGACCAGACUCCUACGGGAGGCAGCAGUGAGGAAUAUUGGUCAAUGGGCGCAAGCCUGAACCGGACAUCCCGCGUGAAGGAAGAAUGCGCUAUGCGUUGUAAACUUCUUUUCCAGGAGAAUAAAAUUUUGUACGUGUACGGAAUUGAAGGUACCCUGGGAAUAAGCAUCGGCUAACUCCGUGCCAGCCGCCGCCGUAAUAC
rnacentral:rRNA from 1 species